GGCUACACACGUGCUACAAUGGGUAGAACAGAGAGUUGCAAAGCCGUGAGGUGAAGCCAAUCUCAGAAAACUAUUCUUAGUUCGGAUUGUACUCUGCAACUCGAGUACAUGAAGUUGGAAUCGCUAGUAAUCGCGAAUCAGCAAUGUCGCGGUGAAUACGUUCCCGGGUCUUGUACACACCGCCCGUCACACCACGAGAGUUGGUUGCACCUGAAGUAGCAGGCCUAACCGCAAGGAGGGAUGCUCCGAGGGUGUGAUUAGCGAUUGGGGUGAAGUCGUAACAAGGUAUCCGUACGGGAACGU
rnacentral:rRNA from 1 species